GGACAUCACAGCCCUGCCUGACGCCAGCGCUCUGCCCUUUGUGCCAUCACAGCCCUGCCUCAGCCCCGCCCUCCGCAGUGCCCCAGGAGGGGUAAGGGGGCUCCCUAUGGGCACUUGCCAGCUCUCUGGAGCAGAGUGGGUGGAAGAUUCUUCUUUAAGAAGGACACAGGGAUGAGGAGGGGAAUGCUGAUGGUCUCACCUCUUUGCUGGCACAGCAUGGGACAUGGAUUGUCCAAUGUGACACUGCAACUCCUUGAGGAGGGCAAGCCCUGCUCAGUAACAUCCAAGCCAUCUGUGUGCUGUCUACCACAUUCCCGUCCUGAAUCCAAACCCAGCUCUUUGCUGCUCCCUGGGAAGGAAAUGGAUCCUAUCCCAUUGAAAACCAGUACAUCAGCCCAUUCUUCAGCCAGCACACCCUGUCUCUCUUUGUCUCACACCUGGACACCUGCUCCAGGUGUAUUCUGCGAGGGACAGGAUCAAAACUGCACUUAAAAUCCUGAAAUAGAACCUGCAUUGCCUUCCCAUCAUCCAUGAGACGGGUGACCUUAUGUUAGGGAACCAGUGAGUGGGAGCCAGGGUGCGCUUGAGUUUCGGGAAUGCCGCAUCUCCUCGUCUCCUCAUUUCCCAGGCAGACCCUGCCACGAGGACGUGGCCGAAGCGGCCCGAGGAUCCGGGCAUUCUUAGGAGAAUGCUGGGCAAGGGCCACAGGUCGGUGCCUGCAGGAAAUUGCCAGCAGGGGAGGCAGCCUUCCUUCGUACCUGAUGUGGAUUCCCUUCCCCGGACAUCCUAGAGAUUUUUUUAGGAUUGGUGACUGAUAAACACAAUGUGUUUUGAUGGA